rnacentral:lncRNA from 1 species
CACAUACCCUCAAUUCCCCUACCCCUCACGUCUUAUUCAAGAUGGAACCAAUUCAUAAAGACACAAAAUAGAAGAGGGCCCACUUGAAAGAUGUUUUUUGAUCUUUUUCCAUUUUUCAUAAAGGAGAACAAAAAUACACUCAAAAAGACUCCAUUUUCUUUUGGGGCCCACACGAUAUUCCUUUUUCUUAUUUUCUUUCCAAAUUAAUAGAGGGCCCCACAUGGAAUAUAGACUCCUCCAUUUUUUUUCAAUACAAAUACUCACCAUCAUCACACAAUACAGAAAAAAAUAGAGGAGACACCAUCUUCUUCCAUAGAUAAAAUCGUAUACCAUCUUCUCUACGAGAUUCCACAUAGUAACAUUCUCACCAUUUUUUACCACUUUUAGAGAAAACAUGCACUCAUAGUGAGAUCAAAAUAGAGAGAGAGGAGAGAGGGAAUUGAAGAGAGACAUCAAGUGAGAAGAGAAAGAUUGAGAUUGAGAGGGAGAGAUAGAGAUCGACAUCAAGAGGGAGAAAUCGGCUGAGAGAGACGGCGAGAGAGGAAAGAUGAGUAAAAAUCAGUGAUCCAUCACUGAUGUCGUCACUGUUUCGGCAUCGUGACUCUCAUCAGAGCUUCGAAUAGGCCCGUUAGGACCCAACGGACUGCUUUGGUCGAACCAUUACCGGACAACGAAGUCCGGCAAACUGAAAACUAGUUUUGUCUUCUCAAUCCCGAUCAAAAUCGAUCUUUUUGGGUCAGUUCUGGCAAGAUUAUGCCGGAAUAACAUUGAAAUCAGAUCCACCAGUUGUAGAUCGGUGAAACCCGAUCCAAAAUCCAUUAAAAACGCGAUCCUAUUUCAGUUUUUCCAGCGUUUCCAGCAAAGUUUGGUGGAAAUUGUGUUUGGGUUUCUCGGUUUCAUAAGUUCCAUCUUGGUUUUUUUGAUUCCAUCAUCGUCAAAUCUGUUCGAGUCGUAGUUUUUAAUAUCGAGUCUGAGUUUAGUCGUAUUGAGGCUGAGUAGAGGUUCAUGGAUGUGGAUUCUGUCUCUCUACCCGAGUAAUACUAAAUAUCAAAAACUUCUUUCGAGGUCCAAUUCUAACUCUUCUCAUUUUAUCUCAUUAUACGAGUUUGAUUUGCGUGAGACAUGAUUGAAUAUUGAGUGAUACCGAAUUGUUGCUUGAUUUUGUUGAAAAAAUGAUUCUAGAUUAUUGAAAUGGUAAUCGUGAAAUGUAGAAAUUUAGUGUUAAAAGGGAAUUUGGGGCGGAAUUUAGAAAUUGAUGAAAAAGGAUGAAUUUAGGUAAAUUUUGGUUUAUUGUUGUGUUUAAUUCGGAAUAAAUAUCAAGUUUGUGAACUCGAUAGGAGCAUAUUUUAGGCCGGAACUUAAUAGGCAAAGUUUAGGUUCGGGUAGGCAAAUUUGAAAUUUGUGGAAUAUUGAAUGGUUAAAAUGCGUGUUGAAUGGUUUGGCUAUAUUGCUUUUGGAUCGAAUGUAUCAUUUGGUCGGGGAAUGCUCCGAGGUAUUUGUGUUUAUACGUCGAGGAAUGCUCCAAAGUAUUUUAUACCUGGAGGACGUUCGUGACAAAGGACCGAUGCAUCGGGUGGAGCUUAGUCUAGGAUUAGCUUAGAAUAGGAUUUGUAUUUUUCACAUUUUUCUAUUUUGGACUGUAUAAUUUGACUGGACAUUAUGAUUUUGGAUUUGUUUUGUUUUGAUUGAUUGUUUUUGUGUGUUUUAUGUGGUUUAUAUAUUGGUAGUGUCAAAUUAGCCGAUAUUUUUCACCAAGCGACAGUGGUCAAACCACGGGAUCGAGGGGUGCCUAACACCUUUCCUUCGGUCAAUAGAAUUCCUUAACCGGAAUCUCUGUUUGCAAACCAGUUUAAAAAGUCAAAUCAUUUUGAAAAGGAUUUUCUAAGGUGACUUGGCACACCAGAUUAUGUCGAGUGGCGACUCUGAUUAAAAAUGUAAAUAAUCCUUUUUCAAAAUAGAUUUUCAAUCUUUUGUCACUUCAAUAAAUAAAAAUCCUUUCGAAAUUUAAAAUUAAUCUUUUUGGUUAAAAAAGGGGUGUGACAGUUAGUAUUUCAUUUUUCUGAAUAAAAUUGAAUAAUAUAAGCCUGUUUAUUGUGUGAGAAAAUAUUUCUUUAAAAUUCCUCCAUAUUUGAUAUUCGAAGCAUUUGCUUUUAUUAUUAUUUUUAAUUGAAAUUGACCAAUGUAAGGCGUGAUAGGUUAUUAAUCUUUGCCUUAAUAUUUUUCAUGGCUUUAGUAUGACUCUCUGUUCAUGCAUUUGGACUUUUUUUCAAUCUAUCAUAUAACAUAAUUGUAUCUUUUGUGAGUUCCUUUAUAAAAGGAGAAAUAUAAUUCAGACUACCCAAAAAUUUCUACAAUUGAGUUUUAUCUGUUAUAACAUCAAAAAAUUUAGAAGCAAAUUUUAUGCUUCUACUUAUAGGGAUUAUUUUUUCAUGGUCAAUAUUAUGACCUAAGAACCUUAUUUUUGUCUAAAAAAGGAGUAUUUUGAAUUUAGAUAUUACUAACCCAUUUUAUAUAAUGAUUUUCUUAAAAAGAUCCAAAUGUCUAAAAUGAAUUUCUCUGUCUUUUGAAAAUACUAGAAUGUCAUUAAUAUAAAUAAUUAUAAAAUUAUUGUAAGGCAUAAAAAUAUCAUUCAUAGUAUUUUGAAAUCUAGAGAAAGUAUUUUUUAAUCCGAAAGGCAAUACAUUUCAUUCGAAUUGACCCAUGAAAACAUUAAAAACAGUUUUAUAUUUAUCUGCUCCAGUUAUUUAAAUUUGCAAAUAUCCUGAUUUUAAAUAAAAGUAAAAAAAUUAUGACAUCAUACAACCUAUCCAAUAGGUCCUUAUUAUUAGGAAUUGAAUACCUAAUCCAUCUGAAAACUUUGUUGAGAGGCAUAAACUUAUAACUAAUUCGAAAAUUUCUCUUUUCUGUUCAACAGGUUUAUUAACAUAAAAGACAGUGUAUGAUCAAGGUGAUUUAGAAGGUUUUAUAAGGCCUUUACUCAAAAGAGAGUCAAUUUUUUUUCUGCAUAAUUUUAAAUAUUCAGAAUUCAUUUGACAAGGUCUAGCUUUAGUAGGAAUCUUAUCCUCUUUAAAACUAUCUUCUUAUGAAAGACAAACAAUAUGUUUCUUUCUUUGUCAAAAAGUAUUUGGGUGAUCUCCACAUAUUUUCAAAUAAAAUAGAUUUUUCAAAAAAAAAAAUAUUUUUUCAAUUAAUUUAGGAUUUUUCAAAAUUUGUUCUAUUGUCAAACUAUAAAUCUCAUUGUUUAGAAAAUCAACUUGUCUAUUUUUUGAAAGAAAUCAGAAAACAGCCGAUGGACAUAUCCCUGGCCAAGGAAUAGUUGGUUCCAUCAAAGCAACCAUUAUCAAAUACAAAGAACAACGAGAUAUGGCGUCAUUACAAGAUAGGGAUGAAAUUAAUCCUUUUAAGAGUAUUACUCGAAGACUUCAUAUCGACAAAUAUUGUCAGUACAUCAGAUCCUAAUAAGGAUCAGUAGAUAUACCAUGAAUUUUUGAAUUUUGUAAAAUUUCAAAAAGAGAUUGUCUGUGGUAUGAACAACAAAUGUCAUAAACACGUCGGAUGUAUUUUUUGUAUUCAGAUUUCUUAUUAAAUUUUUUUUACUUCUUUCAUGUAUGAGAACAUUAUUUCGGACGUAGAUAUAAUUCCUUUCUUCAGAUUUUUACUCCAGAGAAAUGAGCAAUGAGUACCCUUAAAAAAAAAAGAAUAUUUGCAUUCUGAAUAAAAGGUUUCAGUGAAAUUCAAUUACUGGGACUAUAUUUGAGGCUUUAAUAAAGUCGUAUUAUAUGAAAAUCCUCAUAGGAAGCAUUCUUGGUUCAUAAAAAUUUGUGAAAAUAUCUUCAAACAAAAUAUCUCAAAUUGAUUUGCACAAUAGUGGAUAUAUUAUGGCCCAUCGAUAAAAAUUUCAUCAAAACCUUUUAAGAAUUUAUACACUGAUUGGUUAGAAGUAUCUCCGAUGCUUCUCAAAUUAAAAAAAGACAGUAUUUAUUUUAAAGGAACAUCUAUAAUGUAUUUCUUUAUUGAAUUUUCUAUUUCAUGAAUUAUGUAGUGGUCCGUGAAAGAAAAGUCAAAUCUUAACAAUUUUCAAUGCCUUAAAAGAAUCUUUUAUAUAAAAUUCUGAAACAAAUUAAAUCAGAAAACAACAGAUGAAAAUAUCCACGGCCAACGAAUAGUUGAUUCCAUCGAAGCAGCCAUUAUCAAAUACAAAGAAUAAUGAGAUACGGUGCUAUUACAAGACAAGGACGAAAUUAGUCCUUUUAUGAAUAUUACUCGGAGACUACAAAUGAAGAAAGGGAUUGAAUUUGAUUAAUUAACUCAAUUAUAAUAAUUUAUAAUAUUUAUUUAGAUAAUAUUUAUUGAAUUUAAUAUAAUUUAAAUUAUUGUACAAAUUUAUAUCCAAUAAAUUUUACACGAUUACAUUAAAUUAACUUUAUUAAUGAUGUUUUCAAAUACUAAAUUUAACUACUAUUAUUACUAUUUUAUAUAGUUAUUUAAUACUAAAAAUAGAAAAAGAAAAAUAUACUAAUAAUUUUUUAAAAUUUUAUAAAUCAGGCAAGUAUAUUGAAAUAACUAAUUUUAAUACGAGGGUCAGUUAAUAUAAAGUGGGGGAGCAUUUAUUAUUUCUUUCAUCCAACAAUACUUAUCUAUUAUUAACUUGACACACAUCUUAAGAAAUAAUAAAUAAUACAAGUAAUUUUAUCAUAAAACACUUUGAAUAUUAUAAUUUUAUGCUUUAAAAGUAUGUUGUAUAAUGAAUAAUAUUUAGUAAUAAAAAUAAAAUAAAUAUAUAAAUAAAUAAUUUUUUUUUAAAAUUAAACAAGUAUUAUUAAACGUCUACUUAGCAACAUAAAUGGAGGGAUAUUUAAUGUUGGGUUCCUUUCUCUUAAGGUAACUUAUAAGUCAUAUUGCAUUUAGAAAAGAAACUCAUAAGUCAUAUUCUAUUCUACUACUCCUUCUAUUUCCUAUUAGUUGACCCCUAUAAAUUUAAUACACCCAUUAGAAAAAAAAUUUAUUAGGGAUCUAUUUUAUCAGAUUAAUCUUAUUAAUUAUACUUUGAAAAUAUAAAUUUAAAUAUAUAUAACUUGUUUAGUCAUUUACUGAUAGAACAUAUUAAAAUCUUUUUGAUUUCAUUAAAGAGACAAUCAAAUUAAAAUAAGUAUUUUUAAAAAGAAGAUCAACUAAAAUAAAACAGAGGAAGUAACAUAUAAUAGUGGAUUAAUCAGCCAGGCACUAGGUUAACAUGCCCGUUUCGGCAAUUUUUUGGGUAUUUGGUUAUUUACAUUGAAACAAAACAAGUGCAUUGGUGGGAACAAUUAUUUACUGUGGCUUUCUUCCUUAUCUUUUGGCUGUGCAGACGUUUAUGGCUUUAUGCCAUUGCUAAAGUUUUCCGUUUAUGGGUCCUAUACUACAUGAUGUUUUUUUUUUAAAAAAAAUUACAUUAAUCCAUAACUUAAAUUUCACUUAUUACAAAAAAUUUUAUCUCUUCAAACAUAUUACAAAAAUUUCAUUUUUCUCUAAAAAUACAUAUACUUAACUUUCUAUGUAUAUGUCAGCCCUGUUAUAUAUAUGAAUUGACUUUGUUAUGUAUAUGUCGGCCUUGUUAUAUAUAUAUCGACUUUAUCAUACUUGUUAUAUAUAUGAAUCGACCUUAUUAUGUAUAUGUCGGUCUUGUCAUAUACAAUGAUUUCUAUGUAUAUAUCGGGCUUGUUAUGUAUAUGAAUCGAGAGAGAGAGUAAAAUAAUUAAGAAAGUGGGAAAGAGGGUAAAUAAUUCUAAUAAGGUUGAGAUUUAUGUUAUUUUUAUUUUUUUUUAAUUUUAUUUUAGAUGGAUAUAUUUUAUUUUAUACGAUGAUUAAUGGAGUAGAUCAUAAAUUAAAUAAUAAAUUUACUUUUUUACCAUUCAUCCAUAUUAUGAUAUCUAUUGAGUAUAAAAAUAGAUAUUGAAACUGUAGUUAUUUAUAUUUAAUAUAUGCUAUUAAUUUUUGGAGUAAAAUAAAAAAAUUAAUUUAUUCUAUUUUAAUUUAAUAAAUAAUUAUGUAAUGUGGAACAUUUAUUUCCAGUAAAAUGUCUAUCUAAAAUGGAAUGAGGAAACUACUGUUUAUUCUUCCAAGUUUAUGAAAGUGGUAAGUUAUCCUUUUGUGGGUACCAUUGUUGUUUCUCUUAUUCUUUUAUUCUUUUAGUUUGCCAACUUCUUUUACCCACGCAUUUACUAUACAUUUUCCAUCUCUUCCCUCUACAUUUUUCAACAAUUCAUGACUUUUGUCGUCCAUUAUAUAUGUUUUCUAAACAUUAUUAAUUAGUUGUAUUACUAUCAACUUAAUGCAUAGCAGAAAUUGGAUUAUCGUUCGCUAAUGAUAAUAUUUAUAUUGAUACGUACAGUACUUGUUAGAUUAAUCAAAGAAGUUAAUUUUAUUUUCUAAUAAAACGUACUUGUAAUAUUGUAAUUAACUUUUUUAUUUAUUUGUAUGAAUCUUGAGUUUAACCUUUUUAUUUGUGUUAUAGGAUAAAUUGGAUAUAGCAUUAUAACAUUAUUGGCACUUUGUUGUUUUCAAAUUAUGUGGUCUUAUAUUUGAUUUGAUUGGAAGUUAACUACUUGGCAUUUGUGAUUUAUUACCACAUUUAUAAAGAAUGAUAGGCAAGUAGGAGAUCGACAUGUUUGCUUGUGUUUUCUGCUACGAUAUUUUCUUUUAUAUUUGUUUAUUUUAUAUUUCUUUUUAAUCCAUUAUAUAUUUGAAAAUUACGUAAAAGUAUUAUAAAUUACAAUAAUUAAAAAAGAUAUAAAAAAAUUUAGUUGACUCUCUAAAUUUUAUUACCGCCACAUAAAUUGAGAUAGAAGAAAAAAAUACUAUAAAUCACAAUAAUUAAUAAUUUGAAAUAUUUUUAAAAAUAUGUAAAAAAUUUAGUUGACUCUCAAAAUUUUAUCAAUACCACAUAAACUGAGACGAAAGAUGUAACAUAUAUUAUUUGAAAAUUACGUAAAAUGUGUUAUAAAUCAAAAUAGUUAAUUACCCUAAAAUUCGUAAAAGUCAUAAAAAAUUGUGAUAUUAUUUAAAUUCUACCUAUGAUAAAAAUUGAGAUAAAAAAUGUAAAAUAUAUUGGACACGAGCUCCUCUAUAUCUAAGUUGCAUUUAGAAAUGCAACUCAUAAGUCAUAUUGCAUUUAGAAAGGCAACACAUAGUCGUUCAUUUUAAUUACGAAGUUUGACCAUUAUUACAACUACAUGUCUCAGACGUGAAGAUAACAACAAAAGGGGCUCAUCAGAAUUUCAACUCUAGAGAAAAGAAAAAUGUAUUUCUAACUCUGUUUCGAGACAUUUAGUUGUAAUAGUAGUUAAUUCAUUCGUUAAUUUUUACAUAUUCGAUAUUGACUUAACACAUCUCUUAAGAAGCACUAUUUUAUAUAAAAUAAAAAUUUUAGUAAAUUAUUUUUUGAAUAUAAAAAAAAAAAAAAUAUAUGUGCCGGGGGUCUUUCGGAAACAGCCUUUCUACCUCAUCAGAGGUAGAGGUAUGGACUGCGUACAUCUUACCCCCCCCAGACCCCACUAAGUGGGAAUACACUGGGUUUGUUGUUGUUGUUGUUGUUGUUAUUUUUUGAAUAUAAUAAAUUUAAUAAUUUAAAAAAUGCAUUGAAAAAUAUUAUCAAUAUCUUCAACUAAUUUGGUUCAAAUUAUUUGAUACCCCUUGUUUCGUAUUAACUGACUCACGUUGAUUUGGCAUGCUUAAGAAAAUUUUAGUAGGAGCGUUUUACUAAACUAAUCUUAUUAUGACACUUUAAAAUUUUAAAUUUGACUACUGUUAUUACUCUAGUUAUUAUUUAAUGUGAAGGAUAUUGCCCCUGCGAGUGGCCAUGUCCAAAAGGUAAAGGAUAGUAUGGGCAAAAUAUAAUAUCACUCUCUUAAUUUUUGAAAUUUGACAAAUAAACAAAAUAUUUAUUUUUAAUAUAAGGCUCAAGUAUAAUAUGAGAUGAAAUGAGUAAUAGUAAUACUCCUUUCGUUUUAUUUUAUUUGAUCUCUGACUUGAUACGUUCCUUAAGAAAGUUUUAAUAAGAGAUAUAUUUUACUAAAUUAACUUUAUUAAUGAUGUUUUGAAAUUUUAAAUUUAACUAAUACUACUCUAUCUGUCCAUCUUUACUUGUAUAUUAUUAACUUGACACACCCUAAAAAAAUAAUAAAUAAAAGGAAUAAUUUUACUACAUCACUUUUUGAAUAUAUAAAUUCAAUUAUUUUAAUAAUGUAUUAUGUAAUAAUGACUGUAGUUAAUAACUAAGAAUAAAAUGAACACAAAUGAUUAAAUUAUUUAAAACUAGACAAAUAUUAUUUAACAUCUAUUUUUUAGCAAUAUGAACAAGUAAAGAUGGACAGAGGGAGUACUAUUUUAUAUAGUGAUUUAGUACCAAGGGUGAUAUGAAAAAAAUUAAUAAAACUCUUUUGAUUUACAAAAAUAAAAAGUAAAUUGAAAUAUUUAUUUAUAAUAUGAAAGCCAAGCAAAAUAAAGCAAAAGGAGUAAUUCAAAUUGGGUUAUGCUCUCUUUACACAAUAAAUAGGCCUUGGCCUACGCAUAGACACAUACAAACACACACACACAAAAAAAAACUUUCCUUUUACACAAUAUGAAUAUGAAAAUGAAUUUGUUGACUCUGUUUUUUCUAGCCACCUUAUUGAUCUUUUCAUGUGAUGAUGCAGUGAAAGCAGAGAAGUGUAAGACUUUUCUCGAUUGUGAUCCGACCGUGUGUAGAUCUCAUAUUGUAAUAUGUAAAGAUCAGCAAUGUGUUUGUAAUGAUCCCAAAACAUACUCAAGUGAUCAACAAGACACGUCUAGGAUUCUUCCUAGUGGUUAAAGCUAUUGGAGUUUGUGCAUGUAAAAUUAAUGCCUGAUAUUGGCUUAUGAAAAAAAAAAAUCUAUAUAUUAUAAUAAAGUUGGAUAUAGAGGGGUCAUGUGAUAUCUCUCUAUGACUAACAUUCUUAUUCAUCCCUUUUUGUCAAUCUUUUUUGAUAUUUUUCCAUCAUUCUUUACAUAAUAAUCUACCAGUUAGUACCUCUUAAUGAUCAUUAUUUAUGUACUAUGUAAUUAAAGAGGGUAAUAAAAAGCUGGAAUAGACGUUACCAACAGUGGAUAAAACCUUUUCAUAUCCCAUUUUAAUGGAAGAUAAAAGAAUCCGUACAAAUUCUAUCAUUCAUGCAUAAUAUUCUCUUAUUCAAAUACUAAAACAAAAUGAGUUACAUUCAAGUGCAGCCGUGUCUCUUGCAAGGUAAAUUUCGAAUAGAAGCACAAUUUAUUUAUUUGCUGGCAAUAGUUCAUGACAAAUGUUCUUCCAACAUAUAUCAUACACUUUAUCUUUUGUCAGUUCUUCAUAUUUCUAUUUAAAUUCUGACAUUUUCAUCCUAAGAUAAUUUAUGGUGAGAGUGAUUUUUUUUUUCUUGACAGAUUAUUUUGGUGUUUAAUGAUCAUACUAUUUCUUAGUCAAAAAAAGAAAUGUAAAUGAUAUUUGAUGUUAUUUCUAAGUACAUGAAAGUUUUCAUCGACAUUAAUUUGAAUUUGUUGGAUUGAGUUAUAAUUGGAUUUAAAUAUCAUGUUAAUCUGGUUUAAUAUACUACAUUCUCCCUUAUUUGCAUUGAUCAUUAAACUGAAUUUAAUUGAAAAAAGUUUGAAAUGUGUCGAGAUAAAAGAAGUUAAUUGAGAAGAUGUCACAUGACAUUUGAAAUAUGAUAAUUAAUUAACUCUUUUCAUUCUAUAUGAUAAAUUUUUACUUGACGUGUAUAUAAUUUAAUAUUACUUUCCUUGAAUCAUACCAUAGAAUUUAGAACUUGAAGGGAUUGAUCAGAGUUAUGAACAUCGAUUCUACAUCAAUUGGACCUCCUGAUUGUAGUUUGAAUAAACUAUAUACAGAUUAUUAUUUUUUUUAUGGACAAUAGCUAAAAAUGGGGCUUGGGUUUGUGUAUAAUUAUAUGAUUUUGCCAUAGUGUUUUAGAAAUGACUUCCACAGUCUUACUAAUUGAAUUGCAUGCUUGUAAUGUAUGUGUUGGAAGUACUCAAUGUUUGUUGAAAACGUUAUGCCAAAUUAUUUUGUUAUAAGAGGAUAAUUCAACUGGUGAACUUAGGAGCUAAUUACUGACUAGAACCUCAAAGUUUAAAGGUACAAUGAUGCAUUAAGCUUAUGGAUUUGGUCCAGAUGAGAGAUCUGUGCCCUCUUUUAUUUUUAAAGGUCAAAAAUUCAUAAUUAUAUUACACUAAAAAGUAUUACUCCCUAUAUUCCAAAAUAAAUAAAUUGUUGAGCUAUUUUUCAAUGUUUAAAAUAAAUGCAUUGUUCAUUAAUCAAGAGACAUGUCAGAAUUUUUUAAUAAUUUUACCCUUUCACUAAAUGAGGUUUUUGAGUACUUCAUAUUUUCUAUAAAAGUAAUUUAAGAACAAUUAAAAGGAUAACAGUGGAAAAUAACCUACAAUUUAUGUCGUAAAAGAUUUUUCUUAAGGGUUGUGUCACAGCCAACAAUUCAAUUAUUUUAAAAUAGAGGGAGUAGAUAAUAGUUAAGUGGGUCAAUAAAUUUUGAAAAACUACCCUUCAAAUUAAUUUGGUAAGAACAAAAUAUUCCCCAUAAAUUUUGGUUAUCCAUUAAUAUCAUUAAUUUCAUCUUAUAUUUUUAUAUUGCACCAUUAAAAUGGUAGAACAUGAAUCUAACAACGUUUAUAUUUAGCCUGAUAUACUCUUCAAAAAUAUUUUGAAUCCUACUCAUCUUCGUUUUCAUCGUCUCCAUUUCUCCAAGUUUUAAGUUAGAUAAGAGAUAUGACAUAAAUUAAAAUUAAUGGUUAUGAUUUAAUUAAUCAAAUUAAAAUCAUAAUCAUGAUUAAAAUAAUAAAUAUUUUAUAUUUUGUUUCAAAAUUGGUGGAUAAUCCCACAGUUAUAGCUACAAAUUGUUUUAUUUAUAAAUAUAUUUUUCAAAAGACUCUCUUUUCCAACAUCUCUUUUGAGUUAAUCCUAAUUAUGAUCUAACAAAUUAAUAAAGUACGUCUCUAUCAGUUUACAAACUUUUGAUUAUUGUCCUUUUGCUAGAUUCCAAACUCUCUUUUCUCCUCAUGUGCCAAAAUAAUAUUUGCUGCAAAAAAUUGACAACAUAAAAAAUAAUUAUUAUCGUAGAAAAACUUCUUUUCGAAAAUAUAAAUAUAUCAUUUUAUCAAAUAACAUAAUUCAACAUCAUCAAUAUUGUUAUAAAAAUUAUCAAUUAGUAUAACUAAAAGGAAUCUGUCUAUUGAAAUUGUUGAAAUAUCGUUAUCCUUACUUAUAACUAAUUUUAUGGAGAAUUAGAUAGUGAUGACCUGUGCUUCACAGAGUUAAUGUUGGAGGAUUUUGCUAGCUAAAGACAACAUAUGAUUUAUUUGGUUGCCAAGUAUGUUUUACCAUUUGUGUCUACACUAUUUACAUAGAUGUUUACAUGGUCACUACUAAAAAAUUAUAAAAAGAGAACUAAAAUAAGAGACCUUAAAAGUAGGUCGAAAAUAAGAGACCUCGUGAGGUCGGUUAUUUCCUUAAUUUAUUUUUUAAAUUUAUUUUAAAAUAAAGAGAUCUCAUAAAGUUGGUAAAUAAUUAAAAAAUCUUGCCACAUAAUAAUAGAGAUUUCAAGAGAUCGAAAAUAAAAUGCUGAAAAAGUUAGUCUCAAAAUAAUUAAAAUUAUAUUAAAAAAAUUAUAAAAUAUAAAAUGAAUCAAUUUUUUCUAAACAUUACGACCUCAUGAGAUCACUAUUAUUUUAAUAAAUUAAUAUUAAUUGUUAAGAAUAAUUAGUUAUCACUAUUAUAUGAAGUGUGAAGUAAAAAUAUUUUAUUUACUUUUUUAAUAUCUCUUGUUCAAUCAUGGAUAUAGAAAAAACUCUGUUGGGAGCACUGUUAUCGGAUUAGUGUAGGCCGAAUGGAAAACGAAAAAAAAUAUUUCUUAUUAUUCUCGAUCUGAUCUCAAAUUCGACCGGCCUCUCUCUCUCUCAAAACUCCCGCUCAAAUCCAACCCUUUCUCUCAAAGCUCUCUCGCCCAAAUCCUAAUAAAUCCAUCAGCUCUUUCAUUUCAUGUAAGCUUUCAAGCUUUGAUUUUUUCUUAUUUAUGUAUAGAAUAGAAUGUGAAUCUAUGAAUUUCUUGGGUCUCCUUUAAUUUCCUCAAAAUGUAAAACAAAAUAAUUCCAAAGUUAGCUAAUACCUCAAGCUAAAUAUGAGAUAAAGUUAAUCCUGAAUUUUAUUUUGGGAUUAUUGUUCUUAUCCCACAUACCAGGCGCUAAGGUGAAUUGGGUAUGCUUGGUAAAACUUAUAAUGUUUUAAAUGAAGAGUAUUUUUCGUAAAGAAUAAUUUUUUGCUGGUGUUUUGUUGGAUAUAGAAGUAGGUGAUAUUUCAAACUUGUAUAAGGUGAUGGAUAGGGUAUGCAAAUAGUAUUUUAGUGAUAUUUUCGAGUAAUAGAGGUUGAGUGAAUGUUGAACAUUUAUGAAACAAGUAAUAUGGAGUAAGAUUUAGAAUAUUUGCUAAUGAAAAUGACAUUUGGUCAUAGGUAAUAGAAGUCAUUUUCUCGUUUUGGGGAAAGAUAUCAUGAGAGAAUAAUUUUCACAAUAUUGAAAACAAUAACUUUUAGAUAAUUACGGUGCUGAGGCAAUGACUUAGGAUUGUUUGGUACACGGGAUGGGAUAAGUAAGGAUGUCCUCAAGGUAAGUAGGUAAGUAGGUAAGUUGUCGUUGGUAUUUCCCAAAAAGGAAUUCUUCCAGGAUCAACUUUUUUUGGAGGGGUAUAACAGUUGAUGUUGUAUUCCAAUGGCGCAGGAAUGUUGUAGUGGUGGUUUGUGAUAAUAACAAGUAAUUAGAGGAAAAUAAUAUUUGAUAUAUUGGUGAUGGCUUUAGAUGGAUUAGGUAGUGGUCUACAGUAGACGAGAAGUAGCAUAUGACCGCUGCGUGAUGGUGUUGGCACUUGGCAGCACUUUGGUGGUUAUUUUAUUUUCCUUUUCUGGAAAAAGUUUAUUCGGUACGUGGGUUGCUCAUGAGCAGUUGUUGUGAUUUUAGUGGCUAUUAUGAUGGCUGCUGUGGCAGUUUAUGCACUAUGGAAGAGUCUCUAAGUGGUGAGGUUCAUUAACGAGGACAUGUGUGAAAGAUGGUGAGUGGUGCAAUCAGGUGCUAUGCUGCUGGGAUCAUGGUGUUGGAGACUUGGAGUAGGUUUUCUUUUUGUUGGUAAUGUAUGUGGAUCAUGCUAGUAAAUUGUUGAAUUAUUUUUGCUUUUGGGGAUUAUUGAGCUCUUACCUUUUUAUGAAUCCCUAAUGCCAGAGAGAGUUACGAAAAACAAAUUUGUAGGUAUCAAUUAAGCAUCACUUAUCUCUGGAAUAUCAUUAGAUGCAAAGGAUCAAUUUUAUGUUAUAGUUGAUGGAUUUCUUAAUUCUGUGUGACCGUUGAACCAAUUAUUUUCCUCUAUGUUGCUCGGAUUCUUGAAAAUUGUCAACGGAUGCAUGUCAGAUCCACCUCCAAAAUUAGUGUGUUUUUGAAGGAUUUGACACGAGUGCGGCGAUAUUUUUGAAGAGUCGAAGCAACUUAGGUUUUUCCUACAACAAUUCAUUUGAUGCUGCAAAAAGAUAAGAGCUUCGCAUCAAGGACCUAUGUACUUUUCUUUGAGUGACUUUGUAUUCAACUAUUUGUUGUUAUAUGAAAGUUAUGUAUAUUAUUGUUGAUGCUCAAGCUCUCAUUUUUAUGAAAGAAAAUUAAUUAGAAAACAGUAUGGCAGUGUGCACCCUUCUCACUCAUGCAUCUAUUUGUAAGCAAAUGGAUAGAAUAUCACCACUUAGGAUCUGGUGCGUUUGAUGUAGUUUCACCAUUCUCAUAUCCAUUAUCGAAAAUAGCUUUUCUUUAAUAGCUUUGCUUCGUUAGCUUCUUGUUUGCAAUACUAGUUUGUAGCCUGCAUCUACCUGGAAUACAAGCUUUGCCAGCGAACCCAAUCUGAGCUUCCUAUGUUGUCUUGGAGUUUUUUUCUUUUCUUUUUUCAGUCCAUCAAGUUUUGGUAUGAAAAUUUGAAGUGUUUUGCACCAAGUAAUUUGUUAUAGCAGGGAUUCUGAAGUAUCACCAUUCCUUAUUAGACAAGUCAUAGUCUUUCAUAACUUGUCAUAACUGUAUUUCUUGUGUGUGCCUUUCUAAUCUUCCACAUCUAUCUACCUAGUAGAAACUUGAUGUUUCAUAACCAUUAUUAAAUAGCAAUUAAAAUUCAAUUCAUUUUAUUUGCAGAAAAGGAGCUUGGUAUGCCGAUAACGCUGGCUGAGUCUUUCAAGGCUACACACACAAUGAAGAAAAAAAUCCUGGAGAUCCUAAUGUUUGUGUUGAGCCACGAGGUCAACUGACCUAUGUAAGCAUCUAUUUCAAGUAGUAAUUACCUUAUAUCCUAAAUUUAUCUUCUAAUGUUAUUAUUAUUAAAUUCAGGAUCGAUUUUUGCUAUCCAUAUAGAAGUUUCGUCGGACUCUGCCAGACGAUAAUCAAGACCUGUCACUUAGUCAAGAGCAGAAUAAGAGAAUAUGGUUAGAUGCGGUUAGUGGUCCUAGUAGGUAUGGGUAUGCUUAGAAGGCCUCGGUAAUUUUCAGGAUGGAGUCAAGAGAGACGAUUUUGACUUUGAAGCAGUAGAUAGCUGAGCUAUCUAAUGAAGAUAAGGCCUUGUAGACUAGGGAAAGGCAAAGGGAUGUACAAUAUGCGGGAAUGAAGGCCUAAUUCGUUGCAUUACUUGCUUCAGGAGGGGGGGUCCUCCUUGUCCUCUCGUUGAUGUCGUUCGCCCUCUCCGACCUCCUCAGUCUCAACCUAUUUCAAAUGGAGUAUAUGGUCAAUACUGAGAUUCGACUGAUGAGUCUAGCAGUGAUGAAGAUGAUGAGGAUUAUAAUGUGGAUAAUGCACCAUCGCAUUGUUAAAGUUGAGUGCUGUGUUAGAUAAUUUAAACUAUGUACUUUAUGAUGAUUUAUUUGAAUUAUUAAUUGUGUUUGAAUGCAUUAGAACUUUGAAGUAGUCCAAUCAAUAGUAUUGUAUAAAUAAUUUGUCUUUUAUGUUUUUUUCAUUCAUUUUCAAGGUACUUUAAAGUUAAUUUUCGUUAGUGUUCAUUGGAUGAUAUUUAGUACUUGUGUUUGUUGUAGUUUGAUUGAUUGGGGGAGCUCUUGGAGCUUGAGUUAGUUGAUAUUUAUAGUUUGAUUGAUUGAUGGGAGCUCUUUGAGCUCAAGUUAGUUGAUUAGACUGUAUAUAUUAUUGAAUUGAAUGAAGACGACAGAUAUCUAUAAAAGCUUUUCCUUUAGAAAAGAGACCUCAUGAGGUAGCUGUUUUGCAUUUUCAUUUUUCAGAAAAUCCACAAAAGCGACCUCAUGAGGUCUUUUUUUUGAAAUUUCAUUUUCUAGACACUCAAACAAGAGACUGAAAUAUGUUCUUGUAUUUUAAGUAAACUGUUUAUGAUAUAAAGUAAAGAAAUAAUAUCACCUCGUGAGGUGUCUUUUAAUUAAAAAAAUAAAAUCAAAUAGAGACCUUAUGAGGUCUCAUUUAAUAUUAUAAUAAUAAAUAUAAAAAAUAGUUUAAUACUUCACGAGGUCUCUUUCUGAAAAAUUGAAAAAAUAACCUAGUGACCUCAUGAGGUUGCUUUCAAGCGACCUCAUGAAGUCUCUUACAAAAAGCGACCUAUGUUCUAGAGACUAUCAAUUGAGGUCGCUUUUGAAGUCUCUUUUCCGUGGAAAGACCUCAUGAGAUCUCUUUUUACAGUUUUUUUUAGUAGUGAUGCUAUUUACAUAAUGGCAAUGGUGGGGCAAUCUUUGCUCUUAAUUUUGGCUUCUUUAUAGCUUUUUUGCAAUAUUUGACAAAAAAAUACCUGCACGAUUGAAAUUACAUGGUAUGCUAUUUACAUAAUGGCAAUGGUGGUGUAGCAUCUAAUCCUGCAUUUUGGCUUCUUUAUAACUUCUUUGAAACAUUUGGCAAAAAAUAUCUGCACGGUUAUAAUGUGUUAAUUGUUAGCGUUUGUGUUUUGGUAGGAAAGGGAGUAGUAAGCCGAGGAAAGCAAAUAGUUGUGCAGACAAAUAUUGGACAUUUUGAGGU